rnacentral:lncRNA from 1 species
GCAUGGGUAUUGUAUUCUUGAGCCAUUUUCUUCUAGCAUUUUGUUUUUGAUGUUGGGAAACAAAUUUGGAGCUGGACUUUGUGCUUGAUCAUGGUGGCUGGACGGUAUUGCAUAGGAAGCAUAGGGGUUUGGUUUUGUUUGGGUCAAAAAGUUGAAGAAAAGUGUGUUUUGAAGUUGGAUUUAUGAAGGUAGAACUUGGUUUUAUUGUUCUUGAAUCAUUUGGCAAUUGAGCUUUGGGUUCCUUGGAGUGUGUUCAC